UCUAACAGCAUAAGAGAGGUAGUGACAAGAAAUAACAAUACAAGGCAAUUAAAAUGCUUUGUAAUUGGAAUGAUAGAAAUUUAAACACUUUUUAAAGUAUCAAUUGGAGGGCAAGUCUGGUGCCAGCAGCCGCGGUAAUUCCAGCUCCAAUAGCGUAUAUUAAAAUUGUUGCAGUUAAAAAGCUCGUAGUUGAAUUUCUGCUAAAAAUAACCGGUCUGCUUUUUUUAUUAAAAGUGGUAUCUUGGUGUGUUUUUAGCAAUAAUGUCCUUUGAAAUGUUUUUUACUUUAUUGUAAUAAGUCAUUAUUUUGAGGAUUUUUACUUUGAGAAAAUUAGAGUGUUUCUAGCAGGCUUACGCUUUUGAAUACUGCAGCAUGGAAUAAUAAGAUAGGAUUUUAGUUCUACAUUAUUGGUUUUAAGAACUAAAUUAAUGAUUGAUAGGGAUAGUUGGGGGCAUUUGUAUUUAACUGUCAGAGGUGAAAUUCUUAGAUUUGUUAAAGACAAACUACUGCGAAAGCAUUUGCCAAAGAUGUUUUCAUUAAUCAAGAACGAAAGUUAGGGGAUCGAAGACGAUCAGAUACCGUCGUAGUCUUAACUAUAAACUAUGCCGACUAGAGAUUGGAGGUCAUCUUUAUAAACGACUCCUUC
rnacentral:rRNA from 1 species